rnacentral:rRNA from 1 species
AUUUGGCGGACGGGUGAGUAACGCGUGGGAACGUACCCUUUGGUUCGGAACAACAGCGGGAAACUGCUGCUAAUACCGGAUAAGCCCUUCGGGGGAAAGGUUUAUCGCCAGAGGAUCGGCCCGCGUUAGAUUAGCUUGUUGGUGAGGUAAUGGCUCACCAAGGCGACGAUCAGUAGCUGGCCUGAGAGGAUGAUCAGCCACACUGGGACUGAGACACGGCCCAGACUCCUACGGGAGGCAGCAGUGGGGAAUCUUCCGCAAUGGGCGCAAGCCUGACGGAGCAACGCCGCGUGAGUGAUGAAGGCUUUCGGGUUGUAAAACUCUGUCUUCAGGGAAGAAAAAAAUGACGGUACCUGAGGAGGAAGCCCCGGCUAACUACGUGCCAGCAGCCGCGGUAAUAAU